rnacentral:misc_RNA from 1 species
CUAGGUUUAAGAUAAUAGGGCUUGAUGCCUAGCGGCUUCCUUUUACGGGUUGUCUACCGAUCUCACUGGUUCACUCCCUUGAGGAAUGUUCCUCGAGUCGUGAUGCUUUGAUUGUCGUCUUUCGAAUUAAGGAUUUGUCUGGCUGGUGUUCAGCCAAUGGCUUUUGUCUUCGGGUGCCUUGCCUUUAAGUUAAGGCUUCGUUCCACUCCUCUUCUGUCGCUCUCAUCUCUGCCUUUCAUUUACAUAGAUACCCCCUUCUUUUCCCACUCGUUAGGGCAGCGGUUGGAGAGGUAAAAGCUAAAUUGGAGGCUGUUUUCCGAAUCGUGUGCCGAAGCAAGGUAGUUCCUUUUUUUUUU